GCUGGAAGCCUCCUGAAGAGCGCUCGCCAGCUAGUUGCUACAUAAAAAUUACAAGUCCGAAGCGCACAUCUCUCCUUAAUAAUAAGCAAAUAGGGUUUCUGAUAGUCCGUCGUGACAGUUGUGCAUAAAAGUCCCUGAGGUUUUAGAUGUUCAACCCACAGUCCCUGUUAAGUGGCACUCCACGUUUCGUUUUUACGUAAAAACCAUUGCAAUUCUUCGAAAUUAUGCCGCAAACCCUUAUCCCCAGCCCCGGCCCUGCCUCGGACACCCACGCGCCCCGCCACCGCGAGCGCCGCCCGAACCGCAACAACGGCCCCGCCCCGCCCCCGCAAGUGAGGGCCGCCCCGUACGGGCCCGCUAACGCUUCCGCGCCGCGGCGGCAAGAGAGGUUCGGCUAACCCGUCCG
rnacentral:lncRNA from 1 species